rnacentral:ncRNA from 1 species
UAUUGGUUCAUUGCUUGGAGAAAGCGUGAUGAAAAGGGAAUCAGGUGAAAGUCCUGAACAGACCCGCUGCUGUAAGUUUCGCAUGAUUUUCAGGAAAUCUGCAGGCCACUGUCGGAAAGAUGGGAAGGCUCCUGAAAAGAAACAAGUCAGAAGACCUGCCAGUGUCGU